AAACAACCUGAUACUUUGAAUGUUUUAAGCAUCCUUCUUCCUUAUUCUACGGCAGGCUCAGUAACUUUCAAUGUCAUUUGUGCUGAUGUAUUGGUCAACAAAAUAAAUCGUAUUCAAAUCCAAACUACAACACGUGAACUUUUACUGGGAAAAUCACCAGAAGUUCUUCAAGUCUUCGCUUAUGGUGAUACAGAUAAUUUAUUUUCUUCAAUUGAUGGCCUUGUCUUUGACUGGCAACUUAUUACUAUUCCUGGAUCUUUGGAUGCCUCCAGCAUAUUAAGGAUUGUCCCAUUUGCUGAAUCAAUUAAUGAAACCUCAGCUGCUAUUUAUGCUUUAGAAGCCGAGGGUUUAAGGGGGCAGCAGUAUCAUUGUUGAAGGCAUAACAACAGGAACAGCGCUGGUCAGAGCAAAAUUAAGUCAUCCAACCUUCCAGGAUGUUCAAUCUGACGAAGUAAAGUUAUUGGUGAUUGAUAACUUAAUAAUUCCAUCGAGGGAUGUCUACAUUAUGAUAAAUACUGCUGUCAAAUACACAGUCAAAAGAUUUCGACAAAACUCUAUGAUAGAUGUCGAAAUGCCGUCAACACAAUUUGAGUUUGUUCUAAGCAAUACAACUGUUGCAGUUCUUCAUGAAACAUCAUCUAAUUUUAUUGGUCGUGUUCUUGGUUAUACACAAGUUACCCUCGUUGAUAAAAACAUGAAAGAUCAAAUAUCUACAAGACAACCAACAGCUUAUAUUUAUGUUGAUGAACCUCAUCUAGGAUUUUCUAUCACUUCUGGCGAUGUUUGGAUCUUAGAAAGUAAACGUGAAUAUUUUGUCACAGUGAACGUCUUUGACAAACUUAAUCAUAAACUUUAUGUUGGUGGUAACAUUCAAAUCACAACUUAAUUUCCAAAAUCGCAUUUCGAUGUUUCUUAUUCAUCUGAUAAUGGAUCGUAUCAUGAGACGAAGACGUUGACCAGUGGGAAAAUAGUGCUGCGUGCUGUACUGUCUAAGAUUACGUCAAUUAUCACUGGAGAAAAUGCGGUCCUCGAUACUCCCGUACGUGGUAAACAAGAUGUUAUUAUUUAUAAUCCUGUCACCGUGACACCUGCUGUUUUGGCGUUUCCAUGGAUA